rnacentral:lncRNA from 10 species
ACAGAUUGUCACGGAGCCCCUGGUUGUCUGAGGACCCCAGGCCUGAACCUUCCUUGAGGAAGACUGAUUUCUUUCAGACUACUUUGCUCAGUUUGGUUUUAAACAGAAGGCUAAUAAUUAUCCAGAAGAGACAGGAUGAGGCUUGGACAAAGGAGGUGGAGGGUAUCAAAAGAUAUUUAGAAGAUAAAGGAAGUCUGGACUUGGUGCUGUGGGU